GACGAACGCUGGCGGCGUGCUUAACACAUGCAAGUCGAACGGUGAAGCGCCUUCCUUUUUGGUGGGUGUGUAUGAGUGGCGAACGGGUGAGUAACACGUGAGUAACCUGCCCCCUUCUUCUGGAUAACCGCAUGAAAGUGUGGCUAAUACGGGAUAUUCUGGGUCUGUCGCAUGAUGGGUCUGGGAAAGAUAUUGUUUCGGUGGGGGAUGGGCUCGCGGCCUAUCAGCUUGUUGGUGGGGUGAUGGCCUACCAAGGCGGUGACGGGUAGCCGGCCUGAGAGGGUGGACGGUCACACUGGGACUGAGCCACGGCCCAGACUCCUACGGGAGGCAGCAGUGGGGAAUAUUGCACAAUGGGCGCAAGCCUGAUGCAGCGACGCCGCGUGAGGGAUGGAGGCCUUCGGGUUGUGAACCUCUUUCGCCAGUGAAGCAGGCCUGCCUCGUUUGUGGGUGGGUUGACGGUAGCUGGAUAAGAAGCGCCGGCUAACUACGUG
rnacentral:rRNA from 1 species